ACUCCUACGGGAGGCAGCAGUGGGGAAUAUUGCACAAUGGGCGCAAGCCUGAUGCAGCAACGCCGCGUGAGGGACGACGGCCUUCGGGUUGUAAACCUCUUUUAGUAGGGAAGAAGCGAAAGUGACGGUACCUGCAGAAAAAGCACCGGCUAACUACGUGCCAGCAGCCGCGGUAAUACGUAGGGUGCAAGCGUUAUCCGGAAUUAUUGGGCGUAAAGAGCUCGUAGGCGGUUUGUCGCGUCUGCUGUGAAAACUGGAGGCUCAACCUCCAGCCUGCAGUGGGUACGGGCAGACUAGAGUGCGGUAGGGGAGAUUGGAAUUCCUGGUGUAGCGGUGGAAUGCGCAGAUAUCAGGAGGAACACCGAUGGCGAAGGCAGAUCUCUGGGCCGUAACUGACGCUGAGGAGCGAAAGCAUGGGGAGCGAACAGGAUUAGAUACCCUGGUAGUCCAUGCCGUAAACGUUGGGAACUAGAUGUAGGGACCAUUCCACGGUUUCUGUGUCGCAGCUAACGCAUUAAGUUCCCCGCCUGGGGAGUACGGCCGCAAGGCUAAAACUCAAAGGAAUUGACGGGGGCCCGCACAAGCGGCGGAGCAUGCGGAUUAAUUCGAUGCAACGCGAAGAACCUUACCAAGGCUUGACAUAUACCGGAAAAGUGCNAAAAUGUACUCCCCGCAAGGUCGGUAUACAGGUGGUGCAUGGUUGUCGUCAGCUCGUGUCGUGAGAUGUUGGGUUAAGUCCCGCAACGAGCGCAACCCUCGUUCUAUGUUGCCAGCACGUAAUGGUGGGAACUCAUAGGAGACUGCCGGGGUCAACUCGGA
rnacentral:rRNA from 1 species